CGCAAAUUGGUGAGAAUUACAGGUGCUUCUCCUCAUAUAGCGGGUGGCUUAAGCAUCUCGAAUAUUCCAGAAUUUACUGGCACCGUCUCGUCUAGGCGGUCGCCAUAUUAAUAUGCAACAGAGAAAUUUAGUGACGGGCCGGACAAAUCUUGCUCGAGGGCUGCAUGUGGCCCGCGGACCGGGAGUUGCCCACCCCUACUGUACUGUAUCGAAUAGUAUACUGUAUGGAAAAAGAUUUGCAACAAACUCUCUAAAAUCUUUCCACGUUAUGAACUUUUUUAAGAUUAGUGUUAAAAUCAAGUAUUGCUUUUCCGUGAC
rnacentral:lncRNA from 1 species